ensembl:snoRNA SNORD39 Small nucleolar RNA SNORD55/SNORD39
UGAGUAUCAAUGAUGAAGCUUCUCUAACUGCUGCAUAAGGCUGAGUGCACUGUGCGGAUACCAACCUUGGAGAGCUGAGGACUCA